GACGAACGCUGGCGGCGUGCUUAACACAUGCAAGUCGAACGGUGAAGCGCCUUCCUUUUUGGUGGGUGUGGAUGAGUGGCGAACGGGUGAGUAACACGUGAGUAACCUGCCCCCUUCUUCUGGAUAACCGCAUGAAAGUGUGGCUAAUACGGGAUAUUCUGGGUCUGUCGCAUGAUGGGUCUGGGAAAGAUAUUGUUUCGGUGGGGGAUGGGCUCGCGGCCUGUCAGCUUGUUGGUGGGGUGAUGGCCUACCAAGGCGGUGACGGGUAGCCGGCCUGAGAGGGUGGACGGUCACACUGGGACUGAGACACGGCCCAGACUCCUACGGGAGGCAGCAGUGGGGAAUACUGCACAAUGGGCGCAAGCCUGAUGCAGCGACGCCGCGUGAGGGAUGGAGGCCUUCGGGUUGUGAACCUCUUUCGCCAGUGAAGCAGGCCUGCCUCGUUUGUGGGUGGGUUGACGGUAGCUGGAUAAGAAGCGCCGGCUAACUACGUG
rnacentral:rRNA from 1 species